GAAAUUGUGGUGUAUUUGUGCAGGGGAACGUGGAGGCCAGCUGUGUUCUCUGGCUGCUCUGUGGUGUUCUGGUGACACAAAGCAGCUUAUAACCUGGUCUAAUUGGCCACUACACUCUGGCUUCUUUGUGUUGUUUCAGAGUGGCAGAAAGCAACGAUAGUGUACCAAUGAAUCUGGUCCUAAAAGUUAAAAUUCAAAAAAAAUUAUUUAAGGCUGAUAUCAUUCAUCUUCCAGUCAUUAGAGAUAUCCUGGUAUAAUUCUCUGUAGUUCUUGUUCAGUAUGUUCAUGUAUGACAUUUUUAAUAAUUUAAAAAAAAAAAAAGUAUAUUCCCAGACAAAACCUACAUUAGGGUGGAGAUAAGGUUGAGAGUAUCUAUCGGUAAUCUGGGUAAAAUACAUUUUAGGGAUCAUAGAAGUGUAGGAUUGGAAGGGACCUCAGUAGGUCAUCUAGUCCAGUCCUCUACACUCAAGGAAGUACUAAAUAAUAACUUGACCAUUUCUGACAGGUGUUUGUCUAACCUGUUCUUAAAAACCUCCAGUGAUGACAGUUCCACAACUUCCCUAAUGUGGAUGUUGUAAUUAUAUCAGAAACUAGCAUUAUAAAGCCAGCAGAUAAAAAGUGACGGUUACACUUAGAAGAAAUCCAAAUAUGUUAAGGUAUAGAAAUGUUAUGUGUAUAAUUUUAUUUAUAUAUAUAUAUAAAAAAAAAUACUGUCUCUCUCUCUCUCAAUCUUACAUCCACAAAGACUCAAAUGCUUUAAUUGUAAUCUGAUAUUGCACAGUGUCACUACGGGUCAGAGUUAAGGUUGUUUGGCUGCUGUAACUGUCCAUUUGCAUACCUUAAAAUAUUUGGAUUUAUUUUAAACUGUGAUUUUAUUGUAUUAUGGUUAUGUGUCUAGAACCUUAUAUAGGUAUCUUAUUGUUAUGGAUAUCUAAAUGAAAUUAACUUGAGUUUAUAAUGUUUGUUUCUGAAAUAAUUACAUCAUCUAUGUAAUGUAUUUUACCUAAGUUACUGAUCUGACUUCCAGCCUUAACUCAGUCUUAAUAUUGUUUUGUUUGGGAAUUAAUAAUAGCUUUCAGCAAGAAGGGAAUUCAUUCCUAUCUGGAUAAUUCUGCUAACCAGAGCUUUGUGCAGCGAGAAAGCUGAAGUAAGCAGGCACUAAGAUACAGUUUUUGGACCUUCCCAGAUUCAUGAUAAACACAGAAGCCAUACAGAGCCAGGGAAGACAAUCAGAGACCAGGGGUGUGUGUGGUGGGGUGUGACACUUCCUGGGGAUAUCUAGGGUUGUGAAGCACCUCGCUACCACCUGAUCUUAGCGUGAGGAAGCCUUGUCCAGCUGCCAUGGGUUAGCUUCCCUACUCCACCAGCCAAGGGCAACACAAGCACUUCCAUUUGAGCCUGCGUAGGCUUCUUUGUCUCUCUACAGGUUAGUGAAAGGCACGCUCCAAACCCUGAGCUCUCUGAGAGUCCCACUGGAGUGUCCAGCCCCUGGUCCACUGGAUGUUCACAGUAUUCACAGAUCUGCAGCUUCUAAAGAAACAAUUCAGCCGCAACUUGCCAGUUACACCUCAGAUCACUGCUCCCCUUAACACAGAGUGCUUAGAUAUGUUUAUAGUGAAAUCAGGAAUAGGUUUAAUAAAAUAGAGCAAUUCAAAAUCAUAGCAAGUAGAAGUAUUGGAAAUAAAUGGUUAUGUAUAAAAUUAUAACACAUUCUAGAGCCUAGACUUAAUUAACAAGAGACUCUCUUGUCUAAUAAAGUAGUGCUCACCAAAGCUUUACAGCCAGGCUGGCUGUGACCCCUCUUUCAUGAGGCAUAACAUGCUGUCAGCUUGCCUUCUUAGUAAAGGGUCCAGGGUGUUAACUGGCACCACUAAAUAUAUCAGAACAAUCCUUUAUCCUUAUUCAUAAACAGGACCUCACCUCCACUGAUUGUUUCUUCCUGUGGCUUUCCUCUCUUGUGGAUUUCUCAAUCUCUCAAAUGGCGUCGGGGUCAGUAUGCAGAUAGGUAUACACUGUGAGGCAGACAAGGCACAUAUCGGACUAGGAGAGAAGCAUCUGUUACGACCUGCCUGAAAAGAACAUUCCUGAGGUAUGUCCCCUCCUGGUGAUCUGCCUUAAUCCAAAGUCUUUAAGAACAUACUUUUCAAUAUAAAUACAUCACUUCUUAAUAAUUAUCUGUACAGGCAUUUCCCAAUGAUGAUGACCAGACUGCUACUGGCUCACAGUGGAGUCCUUAUAUGCCACCCUUUGGUGAACUAAUGUGCAUAUAAACCCUGUGCACCUCGUGUGCUCUCCGCCAAUUGGCUCCAAGGGGCCCUGGGUCACAUGGAGGUGAUAAGGUUACUAUCAGGUACAAAGUGUUCUUUUCACAGGAACAUUAACGAAAGAUGAAGAUUGCCAUAAAAAGAACAAGAAGGUACCACAGAAAUAAGAUCCAGUCUCUAUUGGAGCCUAUUAGGAAUGUUGAUCUUAUGCACAGAUCUGCUCGAAUGGACCAUAGCUCAUGGGACUUUGACUACUGCCAAUCGUCUGUUCUGCAGGCCCUCCACACUGUGGAGAAUCAGACUCGUGCCUAUAAUAGGAUGCCUGCUGCAGUUUGGAUAAAUAAAGCAGGGCAAAUAUGAACAACCCUACACCAGAGAGAGAGGCUUAGAGCAGAGCAAGGUUCCCUUUCUGUGUACUGCACAUCAAGGAGAAGAUGAACCCCAAAAUUUACUGGUUUACAGGCAGAAGUUAGAUUAAGCAGAGCAGACCCCAGCAAGUAAGUGCAAUGAGUUUGGGGAGGAUAUGCUGCAUUCUUCAUAUAUAAUACAAAAUGUUGAAUCCCAGCUUUAAGUGCAAGGCUCAGCGCCACCAUAUCUAUUGAGGUAUGACCAGCACCUCCAUAAUUAAUAGGGUUACAUCCCAAUCUUCGAUGUGCGCACGUUACUGCAUAUGCUCAGAGAAACCAUAACUGUAAACAUCUGUGGACUCACAGGGGCAGGUUUUUGAGCCAUGGUCAGUGUAUGCCAGAUUCAAGACUCAGUUUAUAAAAACAGAGAUUUUUGAAAAGCUUAACACUUUUUUAUCUCUUUCUGACGAAGUCUGGCCAUUUAGCAGCCUUGGUUUAAUUCUCAGACUUAAGUCAUUGAUUUACACUGUGCUACACAGUUACCCUGAUGUGCUAUCAGGCUCCUGGUUGACCUCGUUGCUGAAUAUUUAUAUAUUGUUGCCUAUGGGCUUGACAGUGGUUGAUUUUAGGGCCUUGCAAGAGGUGGAAAGUAACUAAUGUAAUGGAGUCAGUUCUGGCAUAACCUGUUUAUUUAUACCAUAUGCUUAUUGACGCAAUGCAUGGGAGCCCUCUUACUCUUGAUCUGAGAGAAACCCUGAGCUGCCUCCAUCACGGAGUCUUCAGGUCUCCAACCAUCCUCCCAACUACCCCAGACGUUCCCCACAUGGCUGCUCUGUAGCCUCCCAAGCAGGAUCCAGAAUAGCAGAAGCAGGUUCAUCCUUGGCAGAUUCAUCACUGAUCUAUUCUUGGCUGGAAGAUUCAUUAUAAUAUCAGUGAGGCUCCUAUCGUGCUGCUCUCUGGGAUAAAUCUGCACAGAGGUGGUGAUAUAGCUGUAUAAUAAUAUGCAAUGGAUACAGAACCAUACAGUAGGGGGCCAUGAAAACUUCUAAGCCUUAUGGGAGGCACAUGUUGGGAACUAGAGUCCUUGGCACCAAAAUAUUCCUUCAGUGUGAUUAGUGAUGCUGUGUCUUACUCCUGUGAUGUCACAAGACCCCUCAUCGUUCCCUACUGGUGUAUUGGAGAUGCAGAAAUACUGUUUUCAGGUAAAAAUUCUAACUUCCCAGAUUUCUGUAUUCCUGUUGUUUUCGACUCCAGACCCCUUCUAUCCAAACUAAAAUUCCAGCCUGUCUCUCUGACAUCUCUUGGAUGUCUAGCCAUCCGCUCAAGCUCAAUAUGGCUAAAACAAAGCUCAUAAUCUCCCUCCCAAUGUCCUUUCUUGAUCACAACAUUACCUUCCUGUCUGUCAUUCAGGCCCAUAACCUGUCACCGUCUUCAACUGAGACCUCUUUCUCUGUCCUCAGAUUCAGACUAUAUCUAAAUAUCACAGAUUCUUUAAGAAAAACAUUUUCCUAUUCACCUAAGCAGCUAAAACUCUCAUCCAGGCUCUCAUCAUCUCACUGCAAUAUCCUUCUCUCUGACCUUGACAAAUGCAAUCCAACCCUGCUUCUAUCCAUUCAGAAUGAUGCUGCAAAGAUCGUUCUUCUAGCCUGUCACUUUGACCAAGUCACCCUUCUCUUUGCAUCCCUCCACUAGCUCCCCCUUUUCUAUUGCAUCAAAUGUAAGAUACUUGUAUUCACUUUCAAGGCCCCUCAUGGCCUUUCCCCACCCUACCUGUCACCUCUCAUUCACUACUGAGCUGUCAACUUCUGCCUCCUAUCAGCUGCUUGUUACAUUUUCUUCCAUGCUGCCCUUCAUACUUGAGGGGAGCUUCCUGUAAAUAGCCACAAAACUAAUGCACUAUCCUCCUUCAAAUACCUCUUUAAAACUUCCCUUUGCCAUGAUGACUACAAAAAAAUUGACAACAUUUAAGUCACUUCUGCGCUGUCUGUCAUGUUGGUUAAUAUUGUCUCAUUGUUUCCAGGUACUCCCCAUCUAGCUGCCUGUGUCCGUUUGUUGUCUCUUGGCUUAUACUCACUUGUAAGUGCUUUGCGGCAGGGACUUUUUCUUCUGUAUCUGUACAGCACCUGGCACAGUGGGAUCUUCGUUCAUGACUGGAAUUUCUAGGGGCUUAUUGUAAUAAAAAUAAUAAAUUAUUACUGAGGGAUAUUUGCGUAAUGACACAACCUCUUGUGCUCUGGCUGCUUAUUUCCCUACAUGAUGUCACAAGUUUCAGCUUGUGACAUGGCACAUGGUUGCUGUAGAGGUGUUUGUGAUCUCUAAAUGGAAGACUGAAGUAUCGUGACUUGGUAUUCAAAUUGGGCAGUCAAGGUUUAAUGACCCUGGCAGACAAUCAGACCACUGACCCCUCCACUCCUGAACACACACUAAAUUGGCCCUGUGAGUAAAAAAUAAAAGAGGAGGAUUUGGAGAGCAGUACACAAAAGUACCUUCAGCCUGGUUAAAAGGGGCAUGGAAGACUGUCGUCAUGACCUUGUUGUAACGUACUGCUCUGUUGCACAUUAUGGGGCCUAUGUUUGAAUCGCACUGUGGUUUUCUUCUCUAGCACCAUCUCCGAGACCCGUAAUGGCAGAACGCCAUAGCACUGGCAUUCAUGGUGGUCCAAAUUAUACAAGGGAAGGAAGGAGGAAAUGUGCGCUUGCAGUAUGUUGACCCCCUAUUAAUUUGCGGAAGGGGUCUGAAAUACUGGGACCAUAUUUGGGAGGUCCCCUCUUUGACUAGGGGAGAUUGGCAGAGCAUGAAGAGGGUUUGAUGGGAGUCAGCCUCCAACAGGAGCUAAUAAGCAAUGACAACACAUCCUGAGGAAAAGUAACUUUAGACACAGUUUUACUUUUUACUUGCUGUCCCUAUAUGUGCGUGUGAGAUUCUGUGCGCACACACAACACUAUCUCACGUACACACACACACACGUACACAGACACCCCCCCACUAUCUCACAAACAUCAUGCUGGAAAAGAGGUGGGGAGGAGAGAAUCCCUGACCCUUCUGCUUUUGGUUAUGGAGAAAUUAUUGGAUGGUGAAGAUGAGCAUGCUCAUCUUCUACUUGAGUGAAAUCACCUGCAUCUGGUCCAGCAGAGGCAGGCAGGAUGCCCAUAGUUAGUAAUACACCACACACCAGCUUGCAGAGAAGGUGAGGAAUGUGUACGUGUGUGUUCAUUUCCGAUUAAGCUGUGUGUGCACAUGCAGACUUGCUGUCUAGGUAGUUUUAAUGUAUGUAGAUAGACUUUAAUGUAUAUAGAUAGACUUUAAGGUUUCUGCGGUUAUUGUUUUUUGAUUUCUCCCUUUAGUGCAACUGUUGGGGGUAAAUCUGAAGUUACAGAGAUGGACCUUCUAAUGGUCAAUUAAUCAGGAAAAAGAUCUUGGAGUCAUUGUGGAUAGUUCUCUGAAGACGUCCACGCACUGUGCAGCGGCAGUCAAAAAAGCAAACAGGAUGUUAGGAAUCAUUAAAAAGGGGAUAGAGAAUAA